rnacentral:lncRNA from 1 species
AAGGCUGAAAACUGCGGAGAAAAAUGAUGAGAUAUCGCCACUAAUAUGUACGAUGGAUCUUCUUUCCAUCCUUUCUUGUGAGGGUCUUCCACAGCCACUUCCCAAACAACUAGGCAGUGGGGGUUAGAAAACAUAGACCCUUUCAGAGAUGAUUGAACACUGUCUCUGAGUUACAUGCAGGAUCUAGGACACUGCUUUAACACCCCAGGGUGGGAGUGUGGGGGAGGGAUGUCACGUAUCGAGACCUUUUUAGUUGUUCCAAGGUUGUCAGCGUAGGUGGCUUUAUCUCAGGCUUCCUGCCUGACCAAGACUAUAAGGAAAAAAUAUGUAGAAUUUUUUUCUAAGCCCCUAUCACAGUAGUCCCUGUUGGUCCACAAACACAUUCCAUGGUUUCUGGGUGUAUAUUGAGAAGAAAGAUACUAAAAAAUUAGCAAUCUUUAUGUUUUUCCUUGACCUGUAAAGUCACAGUAUCGUAGAAGGAAGAAAGUAGAAACCUAUGACUAUGUCCCCAAAUGGCAGACCUAAAAGAUCCCUCGGUUAUGGUGGAAUCAUGGGAUUAGAACCACCAUCAGGGCUUUGGAGAGGAACGGAGGGUGAUCCCUACUAGGGCCCCAUUUACUUAGGUGGAAGAUAGGUCUUGGAUCGGGGCAGUAGAUUAGUCAUAACCCAAAGCAGUGGAGGCUACAUUUGAAGCUUUUGUUCUGAACACGUAAAUCAACACCUACCUUCGCAUCUAUGCCACUGUUGUCUGGAAAAGGAUUUUAUAUCCAUAACCAUAAGGCGAGAACAUCCUAAUUAAAUAGGUUUCCCCUGAGAAGACAACCUUCUGCAUCUGCAGUAGAUUACAUCAGUUCUCUGAGCCAGGCCACCUUUUCAUCCAGAGGCACACAUCUCUCAAUAUUGUGGUAGAGACAGUUUCUUCCAUCCCUUGGGGGGGAACAAACUUAGGAAAUGGAUGAGUGGCGUUCCACAUGAUCAAUACAUUUCAACAUUUCUAUCUCCCUAAAUUUUUGUAUUCUGCCAUCUUUAUUAUACUGAAGAAUUUCUGUUGCUGAUGAGAAAUCUGUUGUGGUUCUUUUGUAGUUAAUGUGUCUCUUACAUAUCUUUUAGGAACUUUUUUUAUGUUUUACAAUUUACUUAUAAGGUGAAGUUUGGGGAUUUAACAUAUUUAGUACUUGAUGAGCUUUAUAAAGCUGAAUAUCCUAUUCAGUUCUAGAAAUAUUUCCCCUGUUCUCUCUUCAAUCAUUGUCUUUCCCAUUACCUUUAUUCUCUCCUGAAAUUCACGGACGAGAUUGGAAUUCCUUAACCCUUUUGAAUUUUCUAUCUUUUAAUUUAUCGUGCUGAAAUUCUAAAAAAGUUAACCAGUUCUAUCUCCCAAAUCACCAAUUCUCUCUUCAGCCCUGCCCAGUCUAUAAUUUUAACCAUUUUUAUUUUUAAUACUACUUUUUUUAUUUGAAGAUAUAUUUGUAGUUUUUCAUACAUACAUGUUCU